UGGCGAGUGGCGGACGGGUGAGGAAUACAUCGGAAUCUGCCCAGUCGUGGGGGAUAACGUAGGGAAACUUACGCUAAUACCGCAUACGACCGAGAGGUGAAAGCGGGGGAUCGCAAGACCUCGCGCGAUUGGAUGAGCCGAUGUCGGAUUAGCUAGUUGGCGGGGUAAAGGCCCACCAAGGCGACGAUCCGUAGCUGGUCUGAGAGGAUGAUCAGCCACACUGGAACUGAGACACGGUCCAG
rnacentral:rRNA from 1 species